AUGGUCGCUCGCUUCCCCCUCCUCCUCCUCCUCGUCUUCUCCGCGCAGCUCCUGAUCACCUCCGCCGCCGCCGCCGCCGCGUCGCCCCAUGGACUCACCCAAGUGGAUGUGGCGAAGCGACUCAAGGAGGAGCUAUGGGAAAGGAACCCAGGACAUGAGAUGCUCAAGUCAUGGAAUGGAGGAGACCCGUGCUCCCCAUCUGCCUGGGAAGGCUUCUCUUGCCGAUUACUAGAUGGUAACCAGGUCGUAGCUAAGCUGAACUUUUCUUCUAAGGAACUACAAGGGCCAAUUCCUGCCGUGAUCGGGAACCUGACGGAGCUAACUGAGAUUGAUCUGCAGGGCAAUAACUUCACCGGGUCUAUUCCGGAAUCUUUCUCUGCUCUCACUCACCUGCUGAAGCUGUCAGUGAAGUGCAACCCCUUGUUGAGCAAUCAGCUACCUGAUGGCCUGUCUACCAACCUGGAUUUCAGCGAUGGAGGCUGUGCUGCUGGAGAGCACAGUAGUCCACCUGGAGCUGCCAAUCAGAGAACAUUUGUUGUUAGCGGUCUUGCUGGAGGAUCUUUGGCAUGUACUUUUGCACUGGGAUUGUUCUUCACUUGUUUCAACAAACGCGAACGACGCUCUCAGAAAUCAGACUGUGCUUCUACAACAAAUCCUGUUUUCGAAGAACGCAGCAUCCAUAUAACUACAAAUCCUGCAGUACAACAGUUUUCCUACAAAUCAAUCCAGAGUGCAACAAAUCAUUUCAAGAAACUGAUAGGAGGGGGUGGGUUUGGAGCUGUUUAUCAAGGUACUCUAGCACAUGGCCAACAAGUCGCAGUAAAAGUCCGCUCACCUGCAUCGACUCAGGGAACACGCGAGUUUAACAAUGAGUUACGGCUACUUUCUACUGUGUGGCAUGACAACUUGGUCCCUCUAAUUGGCUAUUGCUGUGAAAAGGAUCAACAGAUUUUGGUUUAUCCACUCAUGUCCAAUGGCUCGCUACAGGAUCGCCUCUACGGUGAGGCAUCAAAACGAAAAGUUCUUGAUUGGCCAACCAGAAUAUCAGUUUGCAUUGGUGCUGCUAAAGGACUAGUAUAUCUUCACAAUUUUGCUGGCCGCUGCAUCAUACACAGAGAUGUUAAGUCUAGCAACAUACUUCUGGAUCAGAGCAUGUGUGGUAAGGUUGCCGACUUUGGGUUUUCAAAGUAUGCACCUCAAGAAGGCGACAGUGUUGCAUCAAUGGAAGUGAGAGGCACUGCUGGAUACUUGGAUCCUGAAUACUAUUCCACUCAGGUGUUAUCGACCAAAAGUGACGUGUUCAGCUUCGGGGUGGUUCUCUUGGAAAUCGUAACCGGAAGGGAGCCCCUCGAUGUUCAGAGGCCUCGGAGCGAAUGGAGCUUAGUCGAGUGGGCAAAGCCAUACAUACGGGACUUCAGGAUCGAGGAGAUCGUGGACCCUGGCAUAAAGGGGCAGUACUGCUCGGAGGCCAUGUGGAGGGUGCUGGAGGUGGCCACGGCGUGCACCGAGUCCUUCUCGACCUUCCGCCCGAGCAUGGAGGACAUCGCGCGGGAGCUGGAGGACGCGCUCAUCAUCGAGAACAACGCUUCCGAGUACAUGCGGUCCAUGGAGAGCACCGGCACCUUCGGCUCCAACCGCUACCUGUCCAUCGACCGGAAGAUGUUCGCGUCGGGCUCGGCCCGGAUAGACCCGGCCAAGUUCGCGUCGGGCUCCGGCCGGAUCGACGCCGGCAAAGGGCCUCUGCAGACCAUGCCUUCGCUUCCGAGCCGGAGUUUGUUCCCGCAGAUGGCAUGA
rnacentral:rRNA from 1 species